AGGGCUCAUGUGUACCACGAGGAAAGGAAACAUUGUGAGCAUGUACUUGCAUGGACUUACUUCUACAUGGGAGUAGAAUCAGAAGACAACCAUGCUUUGCCAUGCUAUCUGAAGAAAUUACCACCAACUCUGCCCUGCUCCUCUCUGCCACCUUUUCACUGGAUAAUGCUGCUCAUUUAGAUCUGGUGGUGCAUCCUGUACACCAGAUGUAGAGAAGCCAGUAUAUCCAGCCUAGAGUGAACACAUCCUUUCAUUUACUCCCCUUCCUUAAAUAUAGAGCCCAUUUUGAAGUAAAGAGAAGGAAAAUGCUGUGAUUCAUACGGUAUCAAUAUUUACAUCUAUGAGUUCACAGAUUUGUUAAACUGUUUA
rnacentral:lncRNA from 1 species